rnacentral:rRNA from 1 species
GACCCUGACAUGUCUAGUAUAGCAUUAUACAGUGAAACUGCGAAUGGCUCAUUAAAUCAGUUAUCGUUUAUUUGAUAGUACCUUUACUACUUGGAUAACCGUGGUAAUUCUAGAGCUAAUACAUGCUAAAAAUCCCGACUGUUUGGAAGGGAUGUAUUUAUUAGAUAAAAAACCAAUGCACUUCGGUGCUCUUUGGUGAUUCAUAAUAACUUCUCGAAUCGCAAGGCUUCAUGCUGGCGAUGGUUCAUUCAAAUUUCUGCCCUAUCAACUUUCGAUGGUAGGAUAGUGGCCUACCAUGGUUUCAACGGGUAACGGGGAAUAAGGGUUCGAUUCCGGAGAGGGAGCCUGAGAAACGGCUACCACAUCCAAGGAAGGCAGCAGGCGCGCAAAUUACCCAAUCCUGACACAGGGAGGUAGUGACAAUAUAUAACGAUGCAGGGCCCUUACGGGUCUUGUAAUUGGAAUGAGUACAAUUUAAAUACCUUAACGAGGAACAAUUGGAGGGCAAGUCUGGUGCCAGCAGCCGCGGUAAUUCCAGCUCCAAGAGCGUAUAUUAAAGUUGUUGCAGUUAAAAAGCUCGUAGUUGAACUUUGGGCUUGGCUGGCCGGUCCGUUUUUUAACGAGUACUGGUUUUCAGCCGAGCCUUUCCUCCUGGUUUCUGUGUAGUUGGGCUUGUCUCAGCUGCAUAUGAUCCAGGACUAUUACUUUGAAAAAAUUAGAGUGUUCAAAGCAGGCGUUUAGCUCGAAUAUAUUAGCAUGGAAUAAUGAAAUAGGACGUAUGGUUCUAUUUUGUUGGUUUCUAGGACCAUCGUAAUGAUUAAUAGGGACGGUCGGGGGCAUCAGUAUUCAAUUGUCAGAGGUGAAAUUCUUGGAUUUAUUGAAGACUAACUACUGCGAAAGCAUUUGCCAAGGACGUUUUCAUUAAUCAAGAACGAAAGUUAGGGGAUCGAAGAUGAUCAGAUACCGUCGUAGUCUUAACCAUAAACUAUGCCGACUAGGGAUCGGGUGUUGUUCUUUUACUGACUCACUCGGCACCUUACGAGAAAUCAAAGUUUUUGGGUUCUGGGGGGAGUAUGGUCGCAAGGCUGAAACUUAAAGGAAUUGACGGAAGGGCACCACCAGGAGUGGAGCCUGCGGCUUAAUUUGACUCAACACGGGGAAACUCACCAGGUCCAGACACAAUAAGGAUUGACAGAUUGAGAGCUCUUUCUUGAUUUUGUGGGUGGUGGUGCAUGGCCGUUCUUAGUUGGUGGAGUGAUUUGUCUGCUUAAUUGCGAUAACGAACGAGACCUUAACCUACUAAAUAGUACUGUUAGCGUUUGCUGAUAUAGUUACUUCUUAGAGGG